UUUCAUGUUGGAACACAGAAAGUCGGAAACGGUCCGCCGCCGGAGGACGUGACUGCGGCCGAUUAGGUAGACGGUGGGGUAACGGCCCACCGUGCCGAUAAUCGGUACGGGUUGUGAGAGCAAGAACCCGGAGACGGUAUCUGAGACAAGAUACCGGGCCCUACGGGGCGCAGCAGGCGCGAAACCUUUACACUGCACGCCAGUGCGAUAAGGGGACCCCGAGUGCGAGGGCAUACAGUCCUCGCUUUUCGUGACCGUAAGAAGGUCUCAGAAUAAGAGCUGGGCAAGACCGGUGCCAGCCGCCGCGGUAAUACCGGCAGCUCGAGUGAUAGCCACUAUUAUUGGGCCUAAAGCGUCCGUAGCCGGCCGAACAGGUCCGUCGGGAAAUCCACCUGCUCAACAGGUGGACGUCCGGCGGAAACCAGUCGGCUUGGGGCCGGGAGACCAGAGAGGUACGUCCGGGGUAGGAGUGAAAUCCCGUAAUCCUGGACGGACCGCCGGUAGCGAAAGCGUCUCUGGAGAACGGACCCGACGGUGAGGGACGAAAGCUUGGGUCUCGAACCGGAUUAGAUACCCGGGUAGUCCAAGCUGUAAACGAUGCUCGCUAGGUGUGGCGUUGGCUACGAGCCAGCGCUGUGCCGUAGGAAGCCGAGAAGCGAGCCGCCUGGGAAGUACGUCCGCAAGGAUGAAACUUAAAGGAAUUGGCGGGGGAGCACUACAACCGGAGGAGCCUGCGGUUUAAUUGGACUCAACGCCGGACAUCUCACCGGCACCGACAGUGUGCAGUGACAGUCAGUCUGAUGGGCUUACUUGAGCCACUGAGAGGAGGUGCAUGGCCGCCGUCAGCUCGUACCGUGAGGCGUCCUGUUAAGUCAGGCAA
rnacentral:rRNA from 1 species